CUUCACAGCUACAGUGGAUGGAACAUAAAGUCUAUAACAGUUUGUUCUUCCUCUACACAUGAAUCAUAAUGGCAUAUUGGCUCAGGAAUACUUUACUUAUCAUGGCUGCAUGCUAUUUUGAUUGCAAAGGUGAGGAGGCUGUUGACCAGCAGAGUGGACAUGUUACUGCCCUUGAAGGAGGACUGGUAACACUCAGCUGUAACUACACUACUACCAGUAGUACAUCUCUUGAUCUCUUCUGGUACAUCCAGUUAACCAGGGACUCUCCUCGGUAUGUCCUGAGAAGAGAUCGUUAUUCAGAAGGGAGCAAUAGUGAUGAGUUCAAGAAGAGGUUUGAUUCCAGACUGAAUUUCACAUCUAGCUCUGUCCCCUUGACGAUCCAGAGGUUGCAGCUGUCUGACUCUGCUGUGUACUACUGUGCUCUGAGGCCCACUGUGACAACAGGAUAUACAGCUCCCUUACAAAAACAUAUAGAGCUACUCAAUGACAAUACACCUGUCUGUACAGUAGACAUCACCACUUUGAAAUUGUAUCCUUCUCUCUACCUCCCUGAUACUACCAAGUCUAGUAGUACUGUGGCAGAUGAUGAUGAUAAUCGCAGUGAUGAUGAUGAUGAUGAUUUUAUAGUAAGUAAUUGUUGAUGGAAAUAAAGCUCCCUCUUCCAAUUCAGCUCUAAAUGUAGAUCUAAGAGACAUUAAAAUUACAUUUCAAUAUCUCAUGGAUUAGAAAAUAUACAUUUUGUUCGUAGAAUUCCUCCUUAGGAGACAAAACCAAUACUCAGUAUUGUGUACAGAGUAAU